rnacentral:rRNA from 1 species
ACACUUGACCUCAAAUCAGGCGGGACUACCCGCUGAACUUAAGCAUAUCAAUAAGCGGAGGAAAAAGAAACUAACAAGGAUUCCCCUAGUAACUGCGAGUGAAGCGGGAAGAGCUCAAAUUUAAAAUCUGGCGGCUUCGUCGUCCGAGUUGUAAUUUAGAGAAGUGUUUUCCGCGCUGGACCGUGUACAAGUCUCCUGGAACGGAGCGUCAUAGAGGGUGAGAAUCCCGUCUUUGACACGGACCCCCAGUGCUCUGUGAUACGCUCUCGAAGAGUCGAGUUGUUUGGGAAUGCAGCUCAAAAUGGGUGGUGAACUCCAUCUAAAGCUAAAUAUUGGCGAGAGACCGAUAGCGAACAAGUACCGUGAGGGAAAGAUGAAAAGCACUUUGGAAAGAGAGUGAAACAGUACGUGAAAUUGCUGAAAGGGAAACGCUUGAAGUCAGUCGCGUCCGCCGGAAUUCAGCCCUCGUGGUGUACUUUCCGACGGACGGGCCAGCAUCACUUUUGACCGCCGGAAAAGGGCGGAGGGAAUGUGGCACCUCCGGGUGUGUUAUAGCCCUCCGUCGUAUACGGUGAUUGGGAGUGAGGACCGCCU